rnacentral:ncRNA from 1 species
UCAGUUCGUUUAAGAUAAGCUGGCAAUAAAGAAGCAGUAAUAUCAUCCACGGUGGUGGGCUUUUUGUUGUGCUUAUUUUACGAAUUGAGACAUGGAUACGGGUGAAGUGUGACCAUAUAAGGUUAUACGUUUUUUACCAAUGUCUUUUAAACGUUAAAAUGCAGGCUAAAGCUCCCAUUGGGGAUUUUGGCCUGCAUUUUUUAU